GUUUCUCCCUUCCUUUUUUGGGGAACGAGCGAGGGUAAAAGAUGAAUCAUGUAGCUAUGCUAAGUGGCUCACAUCAACCAUUGAGAUGUGUGGUCUGAAGAGGUUUCAUCGCCGUCUCCAACAAUGCUCCAAGAUAUUCAUUCCCUUGCACGACAAUAUGGAAGACCACUGGAUUCUGUUGGUCAUGCACCUCCCUGAAAAAAAAAGGCAGAGAUGCUGGACAGCUUCCCUGAUGUAAGGUCACAUGAGAGGCGAAUGGAUCAUGCAAGAGA